UACGAAGGGGGCUAGCGUUGUUCGGAAUUAUUGGGCGUAAAGCGCGUGUAGGCGGCUUUGCAAGUCGGGUGUGAAAGCCCUCGGCUCAACUGAGGAACUGCCUUUGAAACUGUCGGCUUGAGGCCGGGAGGGGUAGCGGAAUUCCCAGUGUAGCGGUGAAAUGCGUAGAGAUCGGGAGGAAUACCAGUGGCGAAGGCGGCCUUCUGGACUGACACUGACGCUGAGGCGCGAAGCCAGGGAGCAAACGGG
rnacentral:rRNA from 1 species